rnacentral:rRNA from 1 species
CCUACGUGAGGCUGCAGUGGGGAAUAUUGGGCAAUGGGCGCAAGCCUGACCCAGCAACGCCGCGUGAGGGAAGACGGUUUUCUGAUUGUAAACCUCUGUCCUCUGUGAAGAUGAUGACGGUAGCAGAGGAGGAAGCUCCGUCUAACUACGUGCCAGCAGCCGCGGUAAUACGUAGGGAGCGAGCGUUGUCCGGAUUUACUGGGUGUAAAGGGUGCGUAGGCGGCUUGGCAAGUCAGUAGUGAAAUCCAUGGGCUUAACCCAUGAACUGCUAUUGAAACUGUCGAGCUUGAGUGAAGUAGAGGUAGGCGGAAUUCCCGGUGUAGCGGUGAAAUGCGUAGAGAUCGGGAGGAACACCAGUGGCGAAGGCGGCCUACUGGGCUUUAACUGACGCUGAGGCACGAAAGCGUGGGUAGCAAACAGGAUUAGAUACCCUUGUAGUC